rnacentral:rRNA from 1 species
CGAAUUGUAGUUUAGAGAAGUGUCUUCUGGGGUAGCUCAGGCAUAGGUCCUUUGGAAAGAGGCGUCAUAGAGGGUGAGAACCCCGUCUGUAGCCUGAAGCCUACUCCUUUGUGAUACACUUUCAAAGAGUCGAGUUGUUUGGGAAUGCAGCUCAAAAUGGGUGGUAAAUACCAUCUAAAGCUAAAUAUUGGCGAGAGACCGAUAGCGAACAAGUACCGUGAGGGAAAGAUGAAAAGAACUUUGAAAAGAGAGUUAAACAGUACGUGAAAUUGUUAAAAGGGAAACGCUUGAAAUCAGUGUUGCAGCCCAGCAAUCAGCCAUUCCAUAGGAUGGUGCACUUGCUGGGAGCAGGUCAGCAUCAGUUUACUGUGGAGUAAAAAGCUGCGAAUCAGCCUUUUAGGUUGGGUCGCCAGUCAUGCUCUGCGGUGGACUGAGGACUGCUUUAACAGGAUGCUGACGAAAUGGUUUUAAACGACCCGUCUUGAAACACGGACCAAGGAGUCUAACAAAUAUGCGAGUAUUCGGGUG